rnacentral:rRNA from 1 species
CUUGGAUCGGCGAAGCCACGGCCUUUCUCCUUAGACCUCUCUGCGCUCCACGUUGGGCCAUUUGACCUCUCCAUCCUCGACGCACCUUUCUCAGAGGACGAGAUCUGGGCUGCGGUCAAAAGCUUGCCGCUUGGGAAGGCGCCCGGCCCCGAUAGCUUCACCGCUGAAUUCCUCCGGAGUGCGUGGGACGUGAUCAAGCAGGACAUCUGCGCCGUCUUCGAUAAGCUAUACGCACUCAACGGACAGGGUUUCCAGAGGCUCAAUGAGGCGCUCCUCACCCUCCUUUCGAAGAAGCAGGAUGCGGCAUCUCUCUUCGACUACCGCCCCAUUAGCCUCAUCCAUCUCAUUGCGAAGCUGUUCGCGAAGGCGCUCUCUCUUCGGCUGGCACCCCACCUGGGCAAGAUGGUUUCUACCAAUCAAAGCGCAUUCAUCGCCGGCCGAAGCAUUCACGACAACUUCCUCCUUGUUCAACAGACGGCCAGACUU